rnacentral:rRNA from 1 species
UACGUAGGGUGCGAGCGUUAAUCGGAAUUACUGGGCGUAAAGCGUGCGCAGGCAGCGCGUUAAGACAGGUGUGAAAGCCCCGAGCUUAACUUGGGAAUUGCGCUUGUGACUGGCGUGCUGGAGUGUGGCAGAGGGAGGUGGAAUUCCACGUGUAGCAGUGAAAUGCGUAGAGAUGUGGAGGAACACCGAUGGCGAAGGCAGCCUCCUGGGCCAGCACUGACGCUCAUGCACGAAAGCGUGGGGAGCAAACAGG